rnacentral:rRNA from 1 species
CCCAAACCCCUGUGAACAUACCUCUAUGUUGCCUCGGCGGAUCAGCCCGCGCCCCGUAAAACGGGACGGCCCGCCGCAGGAACCACAAACUCUGUUUUUAGUGGAACUUCUGAGUAUAAAAAACAAAUAAAUCAAAACUUUCAACAACGGAUCUCUUGGUUCUGGCAUCGAUGAAGAACGCAGCAAAAUGCGAUAAGUAAUGUGAAUUGCAGAAUUCAGUGAAUCAUCGAAUCUUUGAACGCACAUUGCGCCCGCCAGUAUUCUGGCGGGCAUGCCUGUUCGAGCGUCAUUUCAACCCUCAAGCUCAGCUUGGUGUUGGGAGCUGCGGUCAUCGCACUCCCCAAAUUGAUUGGCGGUCACGUCGAGCUUCCAUAGCGUAGUAAUUUACACAUCGUUACUGGUAAUCGUCGCGGCCACGCCGUUAAACCCCAACUUCUGAAUGUUGACCUCGGAUCAGGUAGGAAUACCCGCUGAACUUAAGCAUAUCAAUAAGCGGAGGAAAAGAAACCAACAGGGAUUGCCCUAGUAACGGCGAGUGAAGCGGCAACAGCUCAAAUUUGAAAUCUGGCUCUCGGGCCCGAGUUGUAAUUUGUAGAGGAUGACUUUGAUGCGGUGCCUUCCGAGUUCCCUGGAACGGGACGCCAUAGAGGGUGAGAGCCCCGUCUGGUUGGAUGCCAAAUCUCUGUAAGUCUCCUUCGACGAGUCGAGUAGUUUGGGAAUGCUGCUCUAAAUGGGAGGUAUAUGUCUUCUAAAGCUAAAUACCGGCCAGAGACCGAUAGCGCACAAGUAGAGUGAUCGAAAGAUGAAAAGCACUUUGAAAAGAGAGUUAAAAAGUACGUGAAAUUGUUGAAAGGGAAGCGUUUAUGACCAGACUUGGGCUUGGUUAAUCAUCUGGGGUUCUCCCCAGUGCACUUUUCCAGUCCAGGCCAGCAUCAGUUUUCGCCGGGGGAUAAAGGCUUCGGGAAUGUGGCUCCCCUCGGGGAGUGUUAUAGCCCGUUGUGUAAUACCCUGGCGGGGACU